GCGGUUGUAGUCUAAUGGUAGGACACAAGCUUGCCAAGCUUGUAACCCGGGUUCGAGUCCCGGCAGCCGCA
rnacentral:tRNA from 1 species